rnacentral:rRNA from 1 species
UACGGAAGGCAGCAGUGGGGAAUAUUGCACAAUGGGCGAAAGCCUGAUGCAGCUAUGCCGCGUGUAUGAAGAAGGCCUUAGGGUUGUAAAGUACUUUCAUCGGGGAGGAAAAAACAAAACUAAUAAUUUUAUUUCUUGACGUUACCCGAAAAAGAAGCACCGGCUAACUCCGUGCCAGCAGCCGCGGUAAUACGGAGGGUGCUAGCGUUAAUCAGAAUUACUGGGCGUAAAGAGCACGUAGGUGGUUUUUUUAAGUCAGAUGUGAAAUCCCUGGGCUUAACCUAGGAACUGCAUUUUGAAGCUGAAAUACUAGAGUAUCGUAGAGGGAGGUAGAAUUCUAGGUGUAGCGGUGAAAUGCGUAGAUAUCUGGAGGAAUACCUGUGGCGAAAGCGGCCUCCUAAACGAAUACUGACACUGAGGUGCGAAAGCGUGGGGAGCAAACAGGGAUUAGAUACC